rnacentral:rRNA from 1 species
CGGACGGGUGAGUAACGCGUGGGUAACCUGCCUCACGCUGGGGGACAACAGUUAGAAAUGACUGCUAAUACCGCAUAAGCGCACAGGACCGCAUGGUCCGGUGUGAAAAACUCCGGUGGUGUGAGAUGGACCCGCGUUUGAUUAGCUAGUUGGUGGGGUAACGGCCUACCAAGGCGACGAUCAAUAGCCGACCUGAGAGGGUGACCGGCCACAUUGGGACUGAGACACGGCCCAG